GUGUGAUUUCUACAUUUUUCGGGGGUGAGCUGCAGUUUAAGCCUCUGUAAAAUUUACAUUAAAGUUUUAAUGUAAAAAUUGGCAUGUGUGGUAUGUACAGAAACCUCAGAAUCUCAGCUAAAAGCUCAUACAAACCAUUUCUACCACCAAAGACAGGAAAAAGCAACAAUUAAAAGAGCAGUUACAUUCUGAAACCGCAAGUUUCGUCACGCUCCGACCACCAUUCACCGAACCAGCCGCAAAACAAGACCACCAAUAUACAACAACUUGGAAUCAGAUUUACCGUGCCGCUUUUCUAUUUUUCUCGCCAUUAGCUGUUGUAGCUCGUAUCACAGCUGGCUUAAUGAUGCAUUCACAGCAUGUGGGAGAAAAGAAAAUCAGAUUGAGUUACAUGCAGACAGCUUAAUAUUUCCAUGGCAAC